GUAAUGCAAAUAUUUUAAUGUAGAAUUUUAAAGUUUUUGAGAAACAAAGCAAGUAGCAAAUAUUUUAAGGAUAAGUUUUGUCCAAAUUUCAAAUAACUGCUAUGUAUAUAUAAAUCUCGUGCUGAUGCACGAGGCUCUCUGUGCUUGGUCAGCAUCAUCUAAGCUCUAACAUGGUUGACUGCUAUGAGAUCCAUUGCAGACUUGAAGAAAAAAUCCACCCAGAGCUGGUCAUCUGCUUUACAAAGAUUCUCAAACAUUCUGAAAGAUCACGGCCACAUCUAAAUUCACUGAGCAGAAUGGUCUCCAGCCUCUGCUAACUUCUGCCUGUGUCCAAGUUCAGUGUGAAAGAAUUGGAAGAGAAGAACCAAGACCAUGAGAGGAUUAAACCAGAAGUCAGUGUGGUGACUUUGAGUAUCUCUGACUGCAGAAAGAAGUUAGACUGGACUGACAUGCCAUCCUACAUUAUAUCUAUUUAAGCUGGAAGUGUAUGAGAUGAAGUUAAUGGAUUCUGUAACAAACCUAACAGGCAAAAUAUUCUCAUUUCACCAGCCUAUUACGCAUUAUAACAGGGCCUACGAAGAUCUGAAAUUUGAUUUUCAUUCUGCAAAUCAUAGGAUCACAAUAAAAUUGCUCCAGAAAGAGACCUCCAAAACUCAUCUGGUCUGACCUCCUGCUUAAGGCAUGUUUAAUUUCAAGGUUGAAUCAGUUCCUUCAUGGCACAUACUCCAGACCCCCUUACCACCUAAGCUCUUCAUCAGACUUUCUUCAGAUUUUCAGAGCUUGCCUUGUACAAGGUGGCCCAAAAUGGUGUCUGAUUCUUCAGAUAGAGAUUUGCAAGUGCUGCGUAAAUGUAAGAAAUCACCCUCAUUGAUUUUCUGGUCACAUUCUUUUUGAUGAAACACAGUAUGCUGUCUAGGAGCUGAAGAUACCCUCUCUGACCGUCACGGAAUGCCCCUUUGGCCAGUUUUCAACCAUUUAUGUUGUUUCUCACUACAGAAAUUAAGCAAUUACCCACUGAAGCUUCUCAUUAGAGCUGGCAUAUGUAAGAAGUCUCUAAUGAAACAGGCUUAAAUUCAAACAACUGCAAUGUAAAUAUAUAGAAAUGCAAGUUAUAAUGACAAAGAUCUUGCCCGAAUGACAGCCUGCUGCUUUUUGACCGAUCCUUUUCAAAUGAGACAAUUGCUGUAGUGAUGACUGAUUUUAUCUCAUUUUCUGUCUGCACCAGGGACUACCUCCAUAGGAUAGAACUAUCAUUUUCUCUCAUUUCCCUCUUGCUGUGGUAUAAAAAAGCUCAUUAGUUGGUAGCCUAAAAGUCUUUAUUUUCUUAAGAUAAUAUUUCAUUUAUCUCAGAAUAUGACUGCUAUCAUUUAUACUGCAAGCAAAAAAAAGGAUACAAAACUAAGAAGUGCAAUAUUUAAUAUUCUCUUUGCAAUAUAUUUUUUUUGUUUUGUUCUGUAGUCUCUUAGGCACUAGAAACACUCCUGUAGUUACCUUUUAAAAUGAGCAAUGAUCAUACCUUCUCAGUAUGGUCCUCAAAAACAUAUAAUUUUAUCAUUGCAGUUUAGAGAACCAUUCAGAAAAAGAAUCCAGUAAAGACUUUUGGAAAAGUGAAAAGCCCAUUAAAAACCCCCAAGUUUUAUAACUGGGAGUUGAUCACACAAUACAAAGUUUCUCUUAUCAGUUCAGCAUGCACUUUCCUGUGUCUCUCACUAACAGGUUCAUCUUCACAUUUUAUUUUGUCAUUUUCUCUUUGAGCUUUUUCCUUGGCAGUUUUCCACUUAUUUUAUCUUGUGGUAGCUCCUUAAAUUUCUGUACCUACAUCUGCCCUGAAGACUAAUCAAUUUAAAAAGAACAGCCAAAGAGAGGAAAGAAUAGCUCCGUCCUUUAAAAACUUUUGAAUUUAAAAAAAUUUUGGAUGGUAUCUGGACUUAUUGGUGGUAGUUCUAAGCAGAUUUUUAAUCAGUCAGCAUUGAUUUAGACAGUUGAGGUGGUCAAUAUUGCCUCGUUAAGUCCUCAUGCAAUGUUAAGGAAAAUAGAUCCUUUACGCUUUCCAGCACACAUUCACCUUAGCCUAUAUGCUAUAAUGUUGCCAUUUUGAAAAGAGGUAUAACAAAGUAAAAUUUAAUAUAUUUGUUUUGUGUCUGUGCCUCUAACCACAGUAGGAAAAAUGUAAACAAAGCAAUUGACUGAAUCUGUCCUGAAAAAUUACUAGAAAUGCAAAUAUAAUGGCUUUUAAAGGGUUAUUCCUUUGUAGUUCAAUUGAUAUUGUGCAAUUUUACAUUUGAGAUUUGUAAUUCAAAGUUAGAGGUAAAAUCCUGUGGCACUGAAGUGGAUGAGAACAGAAUGUUAAAUAUAGACAUUUUCUGCAUUAAUGUCAUGCAGCUCCAUUUUCUGUUCCAUUAACUUUCAUACUUUUGCAUGUUGGUUCACAUGUAGAUUUCUAACUAACUGACAAGCAGAAUUUUAAGCCUUGUAUAAUGUUUCUAUAAAAAUACAUGGUGCUCAACUCAAUUACCCCUUCUGGCAUCUCCAAACCAAGGAUGAAGAGAACAAGCUACACUAAAUGGGCAUUAUCAUGCCUGAGUGCUCAGGUGUCUCCUUGUCUAGACUAGCCAGUCUGAAGUACACACUUUAUAGCCAUAAUGCCUUGAGAAAUAUUGGAAGUAUAUGUGUAAGGUGGGUAAAGGACAGCAUCAAAAUUGUUCUAUGACAUUACAGAAAUAAUUUUUGAACACAAUUUACUACACAGGUGCUUGGGAUCAUACACCUGAAGAACUCUUGGAGGUUUAGUGAGUAAGGGCACAGUCUGCUAAAGGUAGAGGUGCUGAAGGAACACCUCCUAGAAUAUUUCUGUGUAUCGUUUUUGUGAAGGAUCUGUGUAUUAAUUAAAGCCAUAAGGCUAAAAUCACUAAGGAGCAUAUCCAUCUAGUUAUUAUUUAGGAAGACUGAGACAAACAUAGAAGUGGUAAUAAAAACUCUCAAAGGAAGCCUCAGUCAUAUCUUCUGUGUCAGUUCUACUAGAUUUUAGUUGUCUAAGGUUUUCCUGAAAGCAGUGUUAUCCUUCUUCCAAUACUGAUUCAUUCCACUUUGGUUUGUCUCCUUCUCUUUGCUGAUCAUUCUACGGAUCCAGGCAUUAUCUUCACAUAAGAACCUAUUAAUCAGACACUUAACAUGCAUUAAAGAAGUACCCACUCUGAAAAUUUUAGAUGUAAUAUACUUAUUAGACAUUAAAGCUCAUACAUAAAUGGUCUAACCACCACUAUGAUAGGUCUUUGAUGGGUUUCUCCUAGUCUCUUGUGAUGGAAUUCUGUCACUUCAUAUGGAUUCUUUCACUAUAAAGAGAAUGUGAACAAGUGAUCAGUUAUUUAGUCAUAUGAUAAUCCUCAUCUUAGAGAUGCCACAAUGGGAUAUUCAUCAGCUUACAUGUGGCCUUUUCAGUCUGAAAUAUGCUGCCAGAUCACAUUUCUGCUAUUGUCUUCCCCAAUUGCCUGUCUUUGGGAGCUGGGCAGCUUUAUAAUCCUCAAGCAUCAGUGCAUUUUCUUGAGAAGCAGUAGCCUUUUGGGCUUGUUUCUUUCCACCCUUUGAUCAGCAACGUCAUACUCCAUUUUUACCACAAAGAACUGUGAUUACAUAGAAGUUCUAGCUCUCUUUUUCAUCAUUUCUUAUUCCCCCUUAAACUAAAUGCAAGGGUAGUUCAUCAAAAGAAUUGAAGUUUUAAUCUCAAUAGAUGCAUUUCUGUUUCACUGUCAUGAUGCUUCAAAGUGUAUUCAUAUUUUGAAUAUAUUCAUUCUUCCCUCUGCUGAAAACCUACAGUAUAUGUGAUUUCUUAUAUAACUUGGAAUUUUUUUCCACAUUUGAAACACAGAGGAUUGGGUACCUAAUAAUGUUACUGUACUAUAGUAGUACAUAAAAUAUUAUAUGAGUAACUUUUUCUUAGUCUUCAGUGAUAUAUUCAAGCACUUCUUAAUUUUUUAGAAUUGUUAUUCAUAUGUCAUUUUUGUUCAGUUGCUGUUUCAAUUUCUAUCUGGUUCUUUUUGACUAAUCUGCAGGAUUAAAAUCCAAUAUUUAAUUAAUUGGACUAUGAAAUAGUACUUAUUUUUUAUUUUCCCAAAAUUUUCACAUGGGUCUAUAUAGUUACUGAUACUCCCUAAUUCUAGAUCAGCAGAACAAGUAUGAUUUUAGCAUGCUUGAGUUGUUCAGGUUACUGUGUAUCCUCAGAUGUAUUCUCAGCACACAUAGUUCAAAGACGUUAUUGUUUAUACAUCAGUUUGGUUUGAUUUCUGAAUGGUAACAUUGGUAAAUUUUUCACACAAGUAACUUUAUGAUGAAUAAUAUACAUGUGUUGUUUGUGUUGGUUUAUGUUUCAGUUGAUAUGACACUUUUUUUUUGCAACUUUUGCUUAUUUAAAUAGCAAAUUCCACACCUAAACUUACAGUUGAAGUAAAAGAAACUGAACUUUUCUAGAAAAAAUAUUUACUUUUUUCACUAUAUGUUUAGAUGGAAGCUGAGCCCUAGUUGGCUGCUCUAUAAUCAGGUAAUUACGCAUAUGAAUUUUGUUAGAAAUAUACCAAUAUGUGCAACUAUGAGACAUAGUUUGCCAUGGGAAAAAAAAAAAAAAAACAAACAUAAACUAACUGACAGAGAACUUCCCACGACAACAUGAAAUGCAUCUACUUGGUUAUUUAUGUUGUCCAAAUUCUUUUCCUUUUGGCAUACUCCUAACAGACAUUUAUAACAGCAGAAGUUGUAGCAGUGGUCCUGUGAAAAGAGAAAAUAAUAUUAAAUAAAUAUGCACAGCAAAAGAAAUUUGGAAGACCAUGAUAAAUUGAAGAUACCUGCAACUUUUUUAGAGUUACGGAAUGCAGAAAAGGAAGCCAAGUAAGAGUAUAGAAGACAAAGACAAAGGACAGUUGAGAACAUGAGAAGCCUUAAAAAAAUUGAGAUAUUAAGAAAACAUCUGUGAGGAAACAGGAUGGAAAAGAACAGGAUGCAGUCAGGAGCUGCAACAGGCAAAGGGUGAUGAAGUAAAUGUUCUUAAAGAACCACAGGAAGAAAGUAAAAUACAGUACCCAUGUCUGGGGACAUCACGAGCUAGGAUAUCCACGAGUAAUGGAAAUCAAGAAUAUUUUCUCAGUGAAAAUAAAAAUAUUAAAUUACUAAGGAUUGGUAAGGAUAAAUACUGUAUACAUUUCUGGAAAAGAGCUAUAUAUUUUUUUUUCCUUGAUGAUUGCUUAUGUUUGAAAUGGGGCAUUUGUUGGUUAAGAUCAGUAUCUGCUUUUGAGCAUCAUGAAAAAGGAAUUUAAUGUAGUUUUCUCCUGUUUAUGAAAAGAGUAAGUACAUGGAGAGGAACUGAAAUUUUAUUUACUCUGCAAAGAAUUUUACUGUGUAAAGAUUUCACUAUAAAAUUAGUGUCAAAGAAGCUUUUAAUUCUUGAACAGUAAAUAAUUAAAAGUCAGAAUAUAAUUUAACCAAUUAAGACAGAAAGAGAAAAUAAAGUGUUACUGACAUUUCUCCUGGGA